GCCUGACGAACGUGUUAUUGACAAUUUGUAAUCUUUUGAAUAACAUCAACAAUACCAUCACUUUGAAGGAAGAAUUUAAACAAGCAUAGAGCAGGAUUGGUCCAAGACAUUUUGCUAUCUGAGUUGAAGGACAAGAUGGAGUCCCCUCCCUAGUGUAUACAGAAGCUGAUCAGUUUGGUGGUUGAAUCUCCAGCACCAGCAAUGGGACAGCAUCUUCUAUCACACCUGGGGACAGCAGGAUCCUUAUUUCCUGGACCCGCCCUACUGAAGUUCCUUCCUAAGGGAAUGGAUGGCGAAGAUGGCCACAGUUCUAGGAGCUGAGGACAGGUUUCUAGUCAUGGUUUGCAUCACUGGUUUCUUAUGUGGUGUGUUACCAUCAUUAAACAAUCACACUCAGUGGUGGAGAAAUUAUUCCAGUCAUUCCAACAUAAUUUAUAGCCUUCCAAAUAAAGUUGCCCAACCCAUGUCCCAAGG